UCUUGCUUACUGCAUAAACUGUGAGCCCUUGGAGGAUAGGGCUUUUGACCACUAGGAAGAUAGCCAUUGAACAAGCACAUCCAUGUUGCUAUGACUGCUGGUAAGAGCUACUUUGCGACUACCUAGAAGAACAAGAGUCCUGACACAUUCUGGGAGUGAGAAGGGCUGACAUGUAAAGGAUGAGCAGUAGUUAGCUUGAUGAAAGGGAACUUCACGGUUUGUGUGUGUGUGUGUAGGUGCAGAAUACUGAGUGUGGUAGCACCAUCUACAAAGGCCCCAUGACAAGAGAGGAGGCUAGAGGACAGGAAUGGGCAAUGAGAAGGGAAGAGGGGAGUGAGUGAGUGAGUGAGUGAGAAAACGAAGGAGGCAGCAUGGUCAGACUGCAUGGCUUUUGGAAACACCAGUCUAUUCUAAAAGCAGUCUGGGCUUCUAGAUGCAGACAGGUGUCUCACAGGACAGAUCAGCUUCUCUGAGCAAGGGUGGUCGGACUGGAUGAGUACACUGGGCCCGCUUCCGUCCAUGGUAUCUGGGUGAGUAUACUGGGCCUGCUCCCACCAUGAUAUCUGGGUGAGUACAC
rnacentral:lncRNA from 1 species